rnacentral:rRNA from 1 species
GAUGAACGCUGGCGGCGUGCCUAAUACAUGCAAGUCGAGCGAACAGACGAGGAGCUUGCUCCUCUGACGUUAGCGGCGGACGGGUGAGUAACACGUGGAUAACCUACCUAUCAGACUGGGAUAACUUCGGGAAACCGGAGCUAAUACCGGAUAAUAUAUUGAACCGCAUGGUUCAAUAGUGAAAGACGGUUUUGCUGUCACUUAUAGAUGGAUCCGCGCCGCAUUAGCUAGUUGGUAAGGUAACGGCUUACCAAGGCAACGAUGCGUAGCCGACCUGAGAGGGUGAUCGGCCACACUGGAACUUAGACACGGUCCAGACUCCUACGGGAGGCAGCAGUAGGGAAUCUUCCGCAAUGGGCGAAAGCCUGACGGAGCAACGCCGCGUGAGUGAUGAAGGUCUUCGGAUCGUAAAACUCUGUUAUUAGGGAAGAACAAAUGUGUAAGUAACUAUGCACGUCUUGACGGUACCUAAUCAGAAAGCCACGGCUAACUACGUG